rnacentral:rRNA from 1 species
AACGUAGGAGACAACCGUUAUCCGGAGUUACUGGGCGUAAAGGGCGUGCAGGUGGUCUGUUAAGUCUGGCGUGAAAGCUCCUGGCUAAACCGGGAGAGGUCGUUGGAUACUGGCGGACUAGAGGACGGUAGAGGCGUGUGGAAUUCCGGGUGUAGUGGUGAAAUGCGUAGAGAUCCGGAGGAACACCAGUGGCGAAGGCGACACGCUGGGCCAUACCUGACGCUAAAGCGCGACAGCAUGGGGAGCAAACGGG